rnacentral:rRNA from 1 species
CACGUAGGGCGCAAGCGUUGUCCGGAAUUAUUGGGCGAAAGAGCUCGUAGGUGGUUUGUUACGUCUGCUGUGAAAACCUAGGGCUUAACCCUGGGCUUGCAGUGGAUACGGGCAGACGUAGAGGUAGGUAGGGGAGAAUGGAAUUCCUGGUGUAGCGGUGAGAUGCGCAGAUAUCAGGAGGAACACCGGUGGCGAAGGCGGUUCUCUGGGCCUUACCUGACACUGAGGAGCGAAAGCGUGGGGAGCGAACAGG